rnacentral:lncRNA from 1 species
UCGGACUGCUCUAUUUGAAUUACUAGAUUAAUUGUGGAUUUAUUGGAAUUUUUGGUUAAUCAUAGGCCUUGCAUGAUCUUUAGGGCACUGCUCUCGGGCUCAUGCGGCCGGUCGCGUUCCGGACCCGGGUGCUGGGUUCGGGGCGUGACAGAGUGGUAUCAGAGCUUAAGGUAAAGUAUCCUAGGCUUUAGAUUUAGGUGAGUGUGAGUGGGGAAUUAUGAUAGGAAAACUAUCAGAGUCUUGGUUUAUAAUCACCUGAGAUUGUAACAGGAAUUAUAUUGUAAUCUAAGGUUUAAGACCACUAGGGACGGUGGCCUUAGUGGCAUUAGAGUUUGACAUUUAAGAUCAUUGGGGAUAGUGACAAAAUUGGAAUUUGAGCAUAUGUUUAAGAUCACUCGGGAUUGUGACAGGAAUGAAAUCAGAGUUUAAGGUUUAAGACCACUGGGGACUGUAGCAUAAGUGGCAUCAGUGUUUGAGGUUUAAGAUCAUUGGGAUUAGUGACAAAAUUAGAACCAAAGCAUAAGAUUAAGAUCACUUGGGUUUGCGACAAAAAUGUAUUAUAGCUUAAGGUUAUGAUCACUUGGGAUAUGACAAAAGUAGUAGAAUUAAAUUCAAUGCUUAUGAUGUAAGUAUUGGGUUUGAUAUUCUACAAGUAUACAAGGACCGGAUAAAUUGUCUUUGAUCAUGAU